AUGUUAUUUGCACCAAAAAUAGUCCCGCCACACAAUGCCUAUUCAGCCGUCGUGCUUUCCCGCGGCUUUCUGAAGGGCGGGCGGGCGGGGAGCCACCAGGCGGCCUCCGAAGCUCCGGGCCGAGCAGGGCUGUGCGCGCUGCCGUGGGGGCUGAGUCUGCGCACGUGGGCGCGGGAGGCGAAGGCGGGUUCGGGCCGCCGCGGUACCGCAGACCCACGCGCCUUCCCCCGGGCCGGAGCCCCAAGCCCAACUGCCAAUUACAACUUUCGAGGCAUCCCGAAGAAGCGGUCCAACGGGCGACGACGCGGGGAGCACGGCGGACGCUCAGUCCUCCCGCAGGGGGCCCUCGGCGGGGACCUGGGGAGCCCGGCCGCCGAGCGGGCGCCGCGGAGGGAGUCCGCGAGGACGAGGACGAGGACGAGCCCGAGGACGAGCCCGAGGACGGGCCAGCGCACGCACGGCCGGCGGCCGGCAAAUGGGCGAGGCACACGGCCGGGGCAGCGGGAAGCAAGCGGACUGACGCCACGGGUCUCCGCAGGCCCGAGGGGGGGCCGGGCCCGGGGGCGGCGGCGUCGGGUCGGGAGGGGCGCCGGGUCGGGGGCGGCGGCGUCGGGUCAGGAGGGGCGUCGGGGCGGGGGCGGCGGCGUCGGGUCAGGAUGGGUGUCGGGUCGGGGGCAGCGGCGUCGGGUCGGGAGGGGCGUCGGGUCGGGGGCGGCGGCGGCGGGUCAGGAGGGGCGUCGGGUCGGGGGCGGCGGCGGCGGGUCAGGAGGGGCGUCGGGGCGGGAGGGGCGUCGGGGCGGGAGGGGCGGCGGCGGCGGGUCAGGAGGGGCGUCGGGGCGGGGGCGGCGGCGUCGGUGGAGCCCCUGCAGCGACAGCUCCGCGGGAGCGAAGGGCGGGGCCGGGGCCGCCAAGCGCCGCGACGCGGGAAGUAGAGAUGCGGCGGCAUUAGGAGCCGCAGGUGCGAAGGCGCGCGCGGCGAGAAGAGAAGGGAAGGGAAACAGGCGAAGAUCCGAGCUGAUGACGCCCGGCGUGUAG
rnacentral:lncRNA from 12 species